GACGAACGCUGGCGGCGUGCUUAACACAUGCAAGUCGAACGAUGAAGCAGAGAAACGCGCACUUCGGUUCAAAUUUCACUUCGGAUUAGUGGCAGACGGGUGAGUAACGCGUGAGCAACCUACCCCUUACAAAGGGAUAGCCUCGGGAAACCGUGAUUAAUACCAUAUGACACAUUCAUAAGGCAUCUUAAGAAUGUUAAAGCUACGGCGGUAAGAGAUGGGCUCGCGUCCCAUUAGCUAGUUGGUGAGGUAACGGCCCACCAAGGCGACGAUGGGUAACCUGCCUGAGAGGGUGAACGGUCACAUUGGAACUGAGACACGGUCCAAACUCCUACGGGAGGCAGCAGUGGGGAAUAUUGCACAAUGGAGGGAACUCUGAUGCAGCGACGCCGCGUGAGCGAUGAAGGAAUUCGUUUCGUAAAGCUCUGUUCUAUGGGAAGAAAAGGACUGUACCAUAGGAGAAAGCCCCGGCUAAAUACGUG
rnacentral:rRNA from 1 species